UACGGAGGAUCCGAGCGUUAUCCGGAUUCAUUGGGUUUAAAGGGUGCGUAGGUUGUUUUAUAAGUUAGCGGUGAAAUACCGAUGCUCAACAUCGGGGCUGCCGCUGAUACUGUAGGACUAGAGAUCGGAUGCAGCAGGCGGAAUGUGUAGUGUAGCGGUGAAAUGCAUAGAUAUUACAUAGAACACCGAUUGCGAAGGCAGCUUGCUAGGCCGGAUCUGACACUGAUGCACGAAAGCGUGGGGAUCGAACAGG
rnacentral:rRNA from 1 species